rnacentral:rRNA from 1 species
UACAGAGGUCUCAAGCGUUGUUCGGAUUCAUUGGACGUAAAGGGUGUGUAGGUGGCGCCGUAAGUCGGGUGUGAAAUUUCGGAGCUUAACUCCGAAACUGCAUUCGAUACUGCGGUGCUUGAGGACUGGAGAGGAGACUGGAAUUCAUGGUGUAGCAGUGAAAUGCGUAGAGAUCAUGAGGAAGACCAGUGGCGAAGGCGGGUCUCUGGACAGUUCCUGACACUGAGACACGAAGGCCAGGGGAGCAAACGGG